CCUACGGGCGGCAGCAGUGAGGAAUAUUGGUCAAUGGACGAGAGUCUGAACCAGCCAAGUAGCGUGAAGGAUGACUGCCCUAUGGGUUGUAAACUUCUUUUAUAUGGGAAUAAAAUGUUCCACGUGUGGGAUUUUGUAUGUACCAUAUGAAUAAGGAUCGGCUAACUCCGUGCCAGCAGCCGCGGUAAUACGGAGGAUCCGAGCGUUAUCCGGAUUUAUUGGGUUUAAAGGGAGCGUAGGUGGAUUGUUAAGUCAGUUGUGAAAGUUUGCGGCUCAACCGUAAAAUUGCAGUUGAAACUGGCAGUCUUGAGUACAGUAGAGGUGGGCGGAAUUCGUGGUGUAGCAGUGUAAUGCUUAGAUAUCACGAAGAACUCCGAUUGCGAAGGCAGUUCACUGGACUGCAACUGACACUGAGGCUCGAAAGUGUGGGUAUCAAACAGGAUUAGAUACCCCAGUAGUC
rnacentral:rRNA from 1 species